GCCAGAGUGGUGGAAUUGGUAGACACGCCGGAUUCAAAAUCCGGUGCUCGCAAGAGCGUGACGGUUCAAGUCCGUCCUCUGGUACCA
rnacentral:tRNA from 1 species